rnacentral:rRNA from 1 species
CCUACGGGAGGCAGCAGUGAGGAAUAUUGGUCAAUGGCCGGAAGGCUGAACCAGCCAUGCCGCGUGAAGGUCAGUGCCCUAUGGGCGUUAAACUUCUUUUGUGCGGGAGCAAUAAUGGUCACGUGUGGCCAGACGAGAGUACCGUACGAAUAAGCAUCGGCUAACUCCGUGCCAGCAGCCGCGGUAAUACGGGGGAUGCAAGCGUUAUCCGGAUUUUUUGGGUUUAAAGGGUGCGUAGGCUGUGAGUUAAGUCAGCGGUGAAAUGCCCCCGCUCACCGGGGUGAAGUGCUAUUGAUACUGCCUUGCUGGAAUGCGGAUGCCGUGGGAGGAAUGUGUGGUGUAGCGGUGAAAUGCAUAGAUAUCACACAGAACACCGAUUGCGAAGGCAGCAUACCGGCGCCCGACUGACGCUGAGGCACGAAAGCGUGGGUAUCGAACAGGAUUAGAUACCCGGGUAGUC